AAUGACGGUCAAUCUUUAAUUAAUAGUGAAGAUAAUUGAAGAUCUAACUACAAAGCAGCAUUAAAGAGAAAUUAAUAUAUAUGCAGUUUACACAAUUCUAACACGUGUCUUCACUAGAACAAUAAAAAAGUGAAUAGUCAUCGUUUGAUCAUUUUCUCCACUGUAGAUAAUUCGAGAAUUUUCUAUAGCUUAGGAAAAUGAAACCUAAGUUAAUUAAUGGGAAGAUGCGAAAGAUUAUUUAUGACACAACACGAUUCAAUAAAAUUCUCUUCCUUUACUGAUUAUGCUAAUUCUACUGGGAACUAUGACUCACGACAGAUUGAGCAGCUACGCCGUUCAUUGAUGAAUGAACACACGGAAUUAAAUAACACUACCAGUUGGUAAUUGUAAAUUCAGAAUCGUCUGGUAAAUAUUUUCUCCAAAAAUGUAUCCUCAAAAUGAUUCAACAAUGAAUGACAAUAAAUUAUACAGAAUACAUACUUUUCAAGAUGUAUGAAAUAUGGUAAAAUAUAUUUAAUGAUUUAAAAAUGUAAAUGUCAAAUGUGGAAUUAAUCUUCCAUUGAAGAAGUAUUUGAGGAUACAAGAACAUCCUUCCAUUCGAGUAAUUGAUUUUUUCAAAUUAUGUAAAAUCAAUAGAAUCUUUAAAAUUCAAAAUUAGCCUUCUUCUAAAGGCUACUACUGUAAUUUAAGUGAAGAUACGUUUUAAUUUGUUAAAUCAGUGGUGUCAAGAUAAAGUCAGAAAAACUCACCCCUCAGUCAAGUAAAUUUUCAAUCCACAAAUAAUUAAAACAAUGCUUCACUCUUGUGAAAAUUGAAUUUCAAUUUCUCAUACACGUAUCAAUACGCACCUACACACUACUAUUUUAAAUACACUAUUCUAUAGUCUUAAUUUAGUCUAGUCUUAAUUUAAUCUAUAGUCUUAAUUUAGUCUAGUUAAAUAAAAUUCCUUGGCUGUCAAAACGAUCGAUACUAAUUCUGUAUAAUUUCUAUAUUUUCUAUAUUUCCUUCCUUUCCUCGCAUAAUGCUCGCAAUAUCAACACAAGGAGACCGUUGACUUCAAAGGUGAACAGAAGGAUCGUAAUAAUAAAUAAUAUUAGGUUUCAUGGGAAAGAGAGAAUGGAAGAGGGAAAUAAACAGAAGGAGAUAAAAGGAAACUGAGUCUUUCAGAAAGCAUAGGUCAACAUAAUUCGACACCUCGUU